CUCGCAUGCUACUCCUCCUACACCGUUUAAGCUAGAAACGCUGUUCCAAUGGUCUCGAUCGUGUUGCUUGUAUACAACUUUUUGAUAUGUUAUACUUUUUCCGUUAUUCACUUUGUCCUCUUUAUCUCUUCCAUCCGUUUUCAUGGGAUUUCUCAAGAUUCUAAAGCUUCGCAUUGUGACAUCCUUACUACCAAUGGCAAUUCUCUGGUGUCGUAAGGAUUGGACCAAAAUGCAGCGGGUUGCCAGGAAAGUGAUGUCCCCAGUAGGUAGUAUAACAGAACCGUCUGGCGUGUGUGUGUAACAGUGUAGGUUCCGUCCCUCUCUUCACCCCAACCCGGGCUCGAACCAGGGACUCUUGCACACAUCAACAACUGACACCCACCGAAGCAUCGUUACCCAUCGCGCCACAAAAGCCGCGGCCCUUGCAACGCAAGGGGAAACCCUACUUCAAGUCUCAGAGCGAGUGACGUCACUGAUUGAAACCGCUAACUAACUAGCCAUUUCACAUCGGUUACAUGUGGACAUGUUUAAUUAUGGUUAGGCCCCUUUUUUCUCAAUUUCCGCCUGAAUGACUUGCCCAAAGUAAACUGCCUGUAGCUCAGGCCUGAAGCCAGGAUAUGCAUAUAAUUGGUACCAUUGGAAAGAAAACACUUUAAAUAAUGUAGGAGAGUAUAACACAAUAGAUAUGGUAGGAGAAAAUCCAAAGAAAAACUGACCGAAAUUAUUUUUUCUUUGAGAGACCAUCCUCUUAGAAAUGCAAGAGAAAGGUCAUAUUGUAAAUUAGCUCCCUGGAUGGAAUUCCUACAGCUUCCACAGGGUGUCAGCAGUCUAUGUUCAAGGCUUCAGGCAUGUAACUUCAAAAACUAAUAAGAAAUAACAGUUUUUGUAGAAGGACACAGUCCUGGAAAUCCGUGUUUGCGCGCACCAUGAAGAAAUUUUGGACCUGCUAAAAUCGGUUUCCUACUUAAAUGUACCUAAAUGUUUAAAAUCUAUAAUAUUUAUGAUAAUUUAUUUGAAUUACGCGCCCUACAGUUUCACCGGAAGUUGUCCCGCUAGCGGCACCCCGA
rnacentral:lncRNA from 1 species